GGUUAAGCGAAUAAGCGUACACGGUGGAUGCCUAGGCAAUCAGAGGCGAUGAAGGACGUGCUAAUCUGCGAAAAGCGUCGGUAAGGUGAUAUGAACCGCUAUACCCGACGAUAUCCGAAUGGGGGAAACCCAGUAUCCAAUGGAUACUAUCAUUAACUGAAUCCAUAGGUUAAUGAGGCGAACCGGGAGAACUGAAACAUCUCAGUACCCCGAGGAAAAGAAAUCAACCGAGAUUCCCUAGUAGCGGCGAGCGAACGGGGAGCAGCCCAGAGUCUUAAUCAAUAGCAGUGUCAGGAGAACGGUCUGGAAAGUCCGGCAGUAAAGGGUGAUAGCCCCGUAUCUGAAGAUGCUGUUGUUGUGAACUCGACGAGUAGGGCGGGACACGUGUUAUCCUGUCUGAAUAUGGGGGACCAUCCUCCAAGGCUAAAUACUCCUGAUUGACCGAUAGUGAACCAGUACCGUGAGGGAAAGGCGAAAAGAACCCCGGCGAGGGGAGUGAAAAAGAACCUGAAACCGUGUACGUACAAGCAGUAGGAGCCUCUUUAUGGGGUGACUGCGUACCUUUUGUAUAAUGGGUCAGCGACUUAUAUUCUGUAGCAAGGUUAACCGUAUAGGGAGCCGUAGGGAAACCGAGUCUUAACUGGGCGAAUGAGUUGCAGGGUAUAGACCCGAAACCCGGUGAUCUAUCCAUGGGCAGGUUGAAGGUUGGGUAACACUAACUGGAGGACCGAACCGACUAAUGUUGAAAAUUAGCGGAUGACUUGUGGAUGGGGUGAAAGGCCAAUCAAACCGGGAGAUAGCUGGUUCUCCCCGAAAGCUAUUUAGGUAGCGCCUCGUGAACUCAUCUUCGGGGGUAGAGCACUGUUUCGACUAGGGGGUCAUCCUGACUUACCAACUCGAUGCAAACUGCGAAUACCGAAGAAUGUUAUCACGGGAGACACACGGCGGGUGCUAACGUCCGUCGAAGAGGGAAACAACCCAGACCGCCAGCUAAGGUCCCAAAGUCAUGGUUAAGUGGGAAACGAAGUGGGAAGGCUCAGACAGCCAGGAUGUUGGCUUAGAAGCAGCCAUCAUUUAAAGAAAGCGUAAUAGCUCACUGGUCGAGUCGGCCCGCGCGGAAGAUGUAACGGGCUAAACCAUGCACCGAAGCUGCGGCAGCGACACAUAGUGUUGUUGGGUAGGGGAGCGUUCUGUAAGCCUGCGAAGGUGUACUGUGAGGUAUGCUGGAGGUAUCAGAAGUGCGAAUGCUGACAUAAGUAACGAUAAUGCGGGUGAAAAACCCGCACGCCGGAAGACCAAGGGUUCCUGUCCAACGUUAAUCGGGGCAGGGUGAGUCGACCCCUAAGGCGAGGCUGAAAAGCGUAGUCGAUGGGAAACGGGUUAAUAUUCCCGUACUGGUGGUAACUGCGAUGGGGAACGGAGAAGGCUAGGUUGUCCGGGCGACGGUCGUCCUGGUUCAAGCAGGUAGGCAGAGUGAUUAGGCAAAUCCGGUCACUUAAUGCUGAGAUGUGAUGACGAACCACCAAGGUGGUGAAGCAAUUGAUGCCCCGCUUCCAGGAAAAGCCUCUAAGCUUCAGGUUACCAACAAUCGUACCCCAAACCGACACAGGUGGUCAGGUAGAGAAUACUCAGGCGCUUGAGAGAACUCGGGUGAAGGAACUAGGCAAAAUGGUGCCGUAACUUCGGGAGAAGGCACGCUGGCGGUAGGUAAAGUCCUCGCGGACAGAGCUGAAGCCAGUCGAAGAUACCAGCUGGCUGCAACUGUUUAUUAAAAACACAGCACUGUGCAAACACGAAAGUGGACGUAUACGGUGUGACGCCUGCCCGGUGCUGGAAGGUUAAUUGAUGGGGUUAGCGCAAGCGAAGCUCCUGAUCGAAGCCCCAGUAAACGGCGGCCGUAACUAUAACGGUCCUAAGGUAGCGAAAUUCCUUGUCGGGUAAGUUCCGACCUGCACGAAUGGCGUAAUGAUGGCCAGGCUGUCUCCACCCGAGACUCAGUGAAAUUGAACUCGCUGUGAAGAUGCAGUGUACCCGCGGCAAGACGGAAAGACCCCGUGAACCUUUACUAUAGCUUGACACUGAACAUUGAGCCUUGAUGUGUAGGAUAGGUGGGAGGCUUUGAAGUGUGGACGCCAGUCUGCAUGGAGCCAACCUUGAAAUACCACCCUUUAACGUUUGAUGUUCUAACCUAGGCCCAUAAACUGGGUCGGGGACCGUGUCUGGUGGGUAGUUUGACUGGGGCGGUCUCCUCCUAAAGAGUAACGGAGGAGCACGAAGGUUGGCUAAGCAUGGUCGGACAUCAUGCGGUUAGUGCAAAGGCAUAAGCCAGCUUGACUGCGAGAGUGACGGCUCGAGCAGGUACGAAAGUAGGUCUUAGUGAUCCGGUGGUUCUGAAUGGAAGGGCCAUCGCUCAACGGAUAAAAGGUACCCGGGGAUAACAGGCUGAUACCGCCCAAGAGUUCAUAUCGACGGCGGUGUUUGGCACCUCGAUGUCGGCUCAUCACAUCCUGGGGCUGAAGUAGGUCCCAAGGGUAUGGCUGUUCGCCAUUUAAAGUGGUACGCGAGCUGGGUUUAGAACGUCGUGAGACAGUUCGGUCCCUAUCUGCCGUGGGCGUUGGAAGAUUGAGAGGGUUGCUCCUAGUACGAGAGGACCGGAGUGAACGCACCACUGGUGUUCGGGUUGUCAUGCCAAUGGCAUUGCCCGGUAGCUAAGUGCGGAAGAGAUAACCGCUGAAAGCAUCUAAGCGGGAAACUUGCCUCGAGAUGAGUCUUCCCUGUCGCUUUAAGUGACCUAAAGGAACGUUUAAGACUAAGACGUUGAUAGGCUGGGUGUAAGCGUAGCGAUACGUUGAGCUAACCAGUACUAAUGAACCGUGAGGCUUAACCUG
rnacentral:rRNA from 1 species